AUGCAGCUUGAAUUUCAACCUGGAGCUGAGACCUCCAGAUGGACUCCUAGAAGGGUGACGUGUAAAGCUGCAUCCCUCAGCAGCCCACGAUCUUGGCAGGUUUGCCACUGUGACCAAUGUUUUAUUGAAGCUUCUGAGGCCGUAGAGCACAGGGAAGUUCCGAGCACACAGAGGACAAGCCAGGGCGGUGCUGUGUGGCCCAAAACAACCUUAAGGAGACAUGAGUGGGGGACGGUUUCUGACACCUUGAUUCCUUAUGUCUGUGUUUCUGCAGUGUGGAGCAUUGUGAGUCUGUGUGGCAGCAACCACGAAGAAAGUGAUACAGACUUGGUGGCGGAGAGCACCGACUGCCGCCAGGAUGAGGAGGCUGCAGCAACCCCCGACGAUGUUGUGGAGGCCGGUGGGAGUGAGAAGACCAAGGAGGAGGCCCUGGCUGGGGAAACUGAGGAGGAGAUGGGGCUGGGGACUGUGAAGGCGGAGGAGGAGGAGGAAAAGGAGGAAGCUGCAGCCAUAGACAAGGCGGAGGAGGAGGCGGGCCCAGCCCAUGAAAAUGACAAGGAGGAGUCGCCAGCCAGCGACCGGGCUGAGCACGAAGACAAGCCUGCCCCCAAGGUAAGCUCACCUUUCUUGAUGUGAGAUUUGAAAAGUUGCCUUUUUUCUUUUUGAUAUCCCUAUCUCAGAAAUGGAAAUCUGAGAAAGUCCGUUAUAGAGGGUAUAUGCAGAUUCCUCUGCGGAGGAAUGUUGAGUCAAAGUUUGGUACCAACCAAUAACUCCUUCCAAGGGGCACUGGCCAAAGUGACCGCAUCAGUUCCCAAGUGUACAGCAGGGAGCAUUUUUCUUUGAAGAAGCCUGAAUGUUGUUUUGUUUUGUUUGUCUUUUUGCCUUUUCUAGGGCCACUCCCGUGGCAUAUGGAGUUUCCCAGGCCAGGGGUCUCAUCGGUGCUGUAGACACCGGCCUACGCCAGAGACGCAGCAGCGUGGGAUCCGAGCCAUGUCGGCAGCCUACACCACAGCUCAUGGCAAUGCCGGAUCCUUAACCUACUGAGCAAGGCCAGGGAUGCAAACCGCAACCGCAUGGUUCCUGGUGGGAUUGCCACGACGGG
rnacentral:lncRNA from 1 species